CGGGGGAGGCCGGAUCCUGGGCUGUGUCCCGGCGCCCUGUGCUCCUGGGGCCUGCGCUGUUGGAUCCGCGCUCCCGCCCCGCAGCCCCCU
rnacentral:pre_miRNA from 1 species